ensembl:lncRNA
GCCCCAUCUCAGCAGGAGCAGAUAAACAGGGAGCCAAGGUCGUAGCUUAGGCACCGUGUGAGAGAAAGCAUGUGAAUGUUUAGGCUUUUAUGAUAAGGUGGGAGAACCAGAGGCUAUAAGAGUUUGAUCAAUGCUCCACCAUUUGGAGAUCUGAGGCUGUCUGCAUACAGUGUCCAUCUCCCACGCGUGUGAUCAUUAAAAUCAUCGUUUGACUUGACCCGGCCGGACCAGUGUUGUUAUUGUGGUUUUUUCUCUUGUCUCCAUCCCCAAUAUUUUGAACUAUAACAAUACAAAUAUAUUUAGUCAUCUUUUCUCUUUUACCACGUCUCUCUAAUAUUUUGCUCCUUACUAUUUUUCUAUUUUCUUUAUUAUUUUGUUUUAUUUUCUUAUAUUUUCUCCUACUGUAUCAUGCUGCUGAGUGACUGCUGCUCGUCAAACACAUUUCAUUGCAAUGUUGACCCUGUGCUAACUUGCAUAUGACAAAUAAAACUGAAAAGUGAAUUGUCUUUUUCUUUCUAAGUUGGCCUACUUUUUUUUAGUUUUGUUAAUAUUGGCAGUAGUGAGAAGUGUUAUUGCUGGGCUUGAAUAUAUUUGAUAUAGACCAUCCAAUUAAGGUAAAUGUUUUCACUUGUUGGAAUCUAAUGAGAAAUAUUUUAUUUUAUUUUUUGUUGUUUUGGUUUUUUGCUUAUCUGUUUCCCCCUGAGGGAUUGCCACCUUAACAUGGUCAGGGGGGUUGUGUGCCUCAGUGACGCUAAAAGCUAGACCAGCAGAAGCUUAGCCUUCAGGUGGGACACCCAAGUUGGUCAGGCCCUUUUAGGGUAGAGGCCUGAACAAGUACAGUCCAAUUACAUGACAAAGACUGUUAUCCAGAGCACUCCACCCAACCCCCACCCCUUUGCCACCUCCGUUGCCACCACGUGCCCCCUCAUAUAUGCCUGUCUGGAACCGGCCCAGUUACACACACGCUUAUUCUGCCUGACAUUUGUGGUGAAAAAUCCGAGAGUUACACAGCAUCCCUUAACAAACAAACCUAUGUAGAAUUACACAAACUAUGUCUCCAAAAGUUGCUUCUGUUCAUCUGGACGCAGCGUUUUGUGGGAGAA